CAGAGAGGCAGCAGAUAAGCCCUGUACUUGAAACAGUAGCUGCUGCAUGCCUGAGGAUCCUGGCAGAGGGGUCUGUGGACCGAAUCUGGUGGCUUGGUGGGCCAGAUCUGGCCUGAGAGAGUUUCUUCGAGGCGCUCUCAUUUUUCAGCUAUAGAAGACUUCCAAGUUUGUUCUCUGACUUCAUUACUUAAAGCAGGAAUGUAAGAAAAUUCCCAGACUGAAUCAUCACCUUUAAGAUUCAUAUCAGUUUUGAUAAGGAACUACCUGGCUUCAUCUUUUGAAUGACUAGGAAAACAGUGACAGAAGUCCUGUCAAGCACCUAGCCCAAUGGGAUUCUGGCACAUGACUAGGGAUCCUGUGCACAAAAUUAAUAGAAAUAAUAAAAAAUAAGGAAAAAGAGUUUUGAAAAUGCAGGGAAGAGGAGCUACAACACAAUUGACAAUACAUCUCCAAGACACAAGAUACUUAAGUACUAUCAUGAUCAAAGUCUUGGUUCAGAGCGAGGAGUUGUGUUGCAAGUCAGUGUGAUCAAGAUUACCGAAUCAUUUGAACUAGUUUACUCUUAUAAAGCUGCCUUCUGGGACCUCAUGGAUGGAAGUGAUGGCGGGGCUAUCAUUAGAUAAUGGUGAGAUUUCAGUUGUUUUUAUUAAUAGUAUGCAUAUAACUUGUUGAAAUACAUUUAUAUUUCCCCCUCAUCGAUCACUGAUCCACCUCAAAAGUAUUUUUUUAAAUUAAAUAAUCCCAUUAAGUUUUAGCCAUCAGUGCUGGAAAGUGAGGUGGUUUCUUUAGUGGCUGUGUGCUAAGGCCUUGAUCCUGCAAGCUGGAAUAUUUGCCACAAUAAAGUUAAGCAAAUGCAUAAAUUAUUGCAAGAUCAGGGCUUAAAGCUAUUCCCUCCAGGCAUAUGAACUAGGCCCUGAUCCUGAACACACUUAUACAUGUUUAUUUAAGGCACUGGGGCAGGGCUUCUCACUUUGUGCGGCCCGGAUUGUUGUGUGUGACCCCAAAAAGGUUCUCCACCACUGCUCUAGCUGAACUCCAGAUUAGCAGGUUACACAAACUGAAGAGGUAACAUCGGUCCCUUGUUU